UCUGAUAACUAGGUAGUGCCAUGGAAGGAAAGGAAGCUUCUGUAAAGUUUGCAGUACUUCUAAUUGGAAGGAAGCAAAGGGAACCAAAAUAAACUCAGCUUGAACAAGAACCCCAGAAGGAACAUUCAUGCUUUAAACAAUGACUUUACGCAACACUGUGAAGAGGGCAAUGUUUCUGUAAGAUACUGUUAUGAAGAGCUGGUAAACUAACAUUUCUACUUCAUUUGGGGGGCAUCAAAAACAAUCUGAGUAACUAAAUGAUUAUGACCACCAAAAAAAAAAUUAUCUCAGGGUUCAAAUGUGCCUUGGCCUUAAAAAUUAUGUGCUAUUAUAAAGCAUUCUUUGUUCCUUGUCCCAUUCAUUCAGAAUGCUUAGUUAUUAAUUUUAAAUGACAUCUUCCAAUUUAGUCAUCUAAAAUAAUCUGUAUUCCCUUUAUUUUAAGGUAUGUAGUGUUCAAUAGGGUUCUUUGGUAUAAAUUUGUUUUUGUUUAAGUUUCAACAAUUAAAUUUUCAUUCAUUCAACUAAGCUGCUUUAUUCAGGCCUACAUUUUUUUUUAAAGGUAACUUUGAUCAAUUGAAUGAAAAGGGACUUAAAUUUGGAUUAGAAAUAUGCAUAAAGUUUUUUCUUGGAUUUCUCAAAUUUAUAGGUCUAUUUCUCAUAACUCAUUAUGUGCAUAUAUGAAAAUGACACAUCUGUAUACAAGCAAUAUCUAUCAAACAAUUCGGCCAUGUACAUUUGUUAAUUACUGUACUUGACAAAGGAAGGUUAAAUUAUAAUGUGAAACCUGGUUUUAUGAAACCAAAGAUGAGUGCAGCAUUUCCGUAUAUAUGGUAAAAAUAAGGGAAUCAACAUGUCACAUAUAUAAUCUAUCUUAUGUGAUAUAUAUAUAUAUAUAUAUAUAUAUAUAUAAAAUGUAUAUCUUAUGUCACAUAAAAUAUAUAAUAUUGGGAGAAAAUUUUUGUAUAUAGAUAUGUAUAUAUUAGGAGAAAAUUUGGGAGAGAAAGGAGUUCAGGCAUCCAAGAGAAUAAAGAAGGGAAUUGGACAUGUCAUUGAGAUAGAUGUAAAAUUCUUUUUUUUCUCCCUACCUAGAAUCCUGUGAGAAACAGACGAAUUUCUGGAGACACCACUUUUUUCCUCUUAUUCAUUCAAGGACUGUUCAGUGGAUGCCUUUCUGGAUACCUGCUGUGUGCCAGACAUCAGAAACAACAUCUAUACUUUAAUGAUUCUUGUGAUGCAGAGAAAGUGAGGUGGGGAGAAGACACAGGAAAUAAACACAUAUGCAAGAUAAUUUCAGAUAGUGGGAAUGUUUGGGAUGGACGAUAGCAGAAAGCAUGCUGCAAGCAGAAUCUGGGAAGGCCUCUGCAAAAGGUUGAUGUCUGAAUGGAGCCCUUAGUGGAGAGAAACCCAGCCUUGCAAAGAUGGAGGGAAGAGUGUUCAAAGCAGAGGGAGAAACUAGUGUGAAGUCCUGAGGAGGGACUUGGAAAGAACUCAUUUUGAGGUCACAUCUUGUACAAAUAACUUUGAAUCUCUGCAUUUGAAAAAAGGCUUGAGGGAUCCUUGUCCCUUAAGACUCACAGAGGAAAAGGAUUCUGUGUUGAAAUGACUUUUAGUAAUUAAAAGUGGGGUUAAGAUGAGUGCAUUUGCUGAGCAGACAUUUACUGCAAGCUCUACAGCAAGCCGGCUGGACUCAGCUGUUCCAAAUUCUGAAUAUGAGGCUCUAUGAAAGAUUAUAUUUUCCAAAGAUGGCCACAGUAAUUCUCCUAACCCACAUGCCCAUCCUUCAAUAUGACUUUGCCAUAUACAAAUUUCAAUAGAGGAGUCCAGCUUCCGUCCCUGGAAUCUGGAGGGGCUUGUGAUUAUAGUACAAGUCAUUCUAUUUGACAUUAGAGGCCAAAGGCAAUACUGUAGUCUGUCAUGUUCUAUUGGGUCGAUACUCUCGGAAGCUACAGUGAGGAAGCACAGGCUGCUAGGUGGAGUGGCUUCAUGUAGGUAACCUCAGCUGACCUCUCAACAACAUAUGGCAAAUCCUGGUUAUGUGAAUAAAGGAGACUCAUAUGACUCCUGCUCCCAUCUCUCAAGUCACUCUAGUUAUAGUGUCUUCCAGUUGAGGACCCAAAUAUUGUAGAGCAGGAAAAAGCAUUCCCUUUAUGUUCUUUCCAAUUCCUGACCCACAAGAAAGUGGUUGCUGUUUUACACCACCAAUGUUUGAUGGUUUAUCUCACAGCAGUCAACGACUGGAACAGGUGCUUAGUGUCUUCAUUGCAGCUGUGGGUGCCGAUGGUCUUUUUAGGUGG
rnacentral:lncRNA from 1 species